rnacentral:rRNA from 1 species
AACGAGCGCAACCCUUAAGCUUAGUUGCCAUCAUUAAGUUGGGCACUCUAAGUUGACUGCCGGUGACAAACCGGAGGAAGGUGGGGAUGACGUCAAAUCAUCAUGCCCCUUAUGAUUUGGGCUACACACGUGCUACAAUGGACAAUACAAAGGGCAGCGAAACCGCGAGGUCAAGCAAAUCCCAUAAAGUUGUUCUCAGUUCGGAUUGUAGUCUGCAACUCGACUAUAUGAAGCUGGAAUCGCUAGUAAUCGUAGAUCAGCAUGCUACGGUGAAUACGUUCCCGGGUCUUGUACACACCGCCCGUCACACCACGAGAGUUUGUAACACCCGAAGCCGGUGGAGUAACCAUUUGGAGCUAGCCGUCGAAGGUGGGACAAAU